UACAGAGGGUGCGAGCGUUAAUCGGAAUUACUGGGCGUAAAGCGCGCGUAGGCGGCUUUGCAAGUCGGGUGUGAAAUCCCCAGGCUUAACCUGGGAACUGCAUUCGAGACUGCAUUGCUAGAGUAUGGGAGAGGGAAGUGGAAUCUCCGGUGUAGCGGUGAAAUGCGUAGAUAUCGGAAGGAACAUCAGUGGCGAUAGCGACUUCCUGGACCAAUACUGACGCUCAUGUGCGAAAGCGUGGGGAGCAAACAGG
rnacentral:rRNA from 1 species